rnacentral:miRNA from 1 species
AUUCUUCCUGCCCUGGCUCCAU